AACUCAGCCUUUGGAACCUCUUGCAUGGACUCUUGUUCUCCACAAGAAUCGUUGGCUCAGGAGGCGCAUCCAUCGGGCUGCAGCCCCUCCUCCUCCUUGCCCGGUUACCUCUCCUUCUGGCUCCAUCUCUCGGGAGCUAGUCCGACAUCCUUGGCCUUCUGGUUUCAGCCGGGCUAAAGACAAGCGGACGAGUACUGACCUGACCUUUGAGCCUAUAGUCUCUGCCUCAGUUCAGGACCCUUCUCAGGGCCCUUCCCUAGAACUGGGUCCGAACACCGCCUUCGCCCUUUCGGGUUCCCCAGUUGCUUCUCAAGUGCCUCCUUCCACGUCGCCUUUGGCUCCUCGUUGACUCGGAAAAGAACCCAUUAUCUCUACUCUUGUCGAUGAUCCCUCUUCGGGUUCGUCCUGUGAUACUGGCCCGUCUUGCGAUCUUGGGCCCUCCGUCCUUGUGGCAUUCCUUACUGUUCACACAUGUCCCCCUUCCUCUGCCUCUUUUGCAUUUGGUGAUAUGUGCCUCACCAUAACCGUGCCACCUUCUGCCAUGUUGCUUGUGGCUCUUGCCUUUCUGCUGUUGGUCACUUCUACCACGUUCCCUGUGGCGCCUACCUCGCAGCCAUCGGUCACCCUCUGGCCUGUGGUACCGCCAGCCGUCGCUCCAUCUACCCCGUUGACUGGCCCCUUGCCACCUGUCCCUCUUCAGCCUGCCUCGCUCUCAACCGGUGUCCUCUUUCCUUUAUUGAUUGCCACACCGCCCCUCCCUGGCCACUUUGCAUUCAUUUCUCAUGUCCCUUCCUCUUCUCUGUUUGCCUUGGACCCCUCACCCUCCCUGUUCUUGUAUCCCGCCAUCCUUGGCCUCGAGCCUUCCCCCAUCCCCUCGCCUCCUCCCCUGGGAUGCCGUGUGGCAUGAUGGCAGCUCGCAGCCGGCUCCUUCUCUCUCCUCUUUCCCUUCCGUUGCCUCUACUUCUCGCCUUCUCUUUCCUCCCCCUUUCUCUCUCGCUUCCUUCUCUCCAUUGCCCCUGCUUAGCAUCCCUUCCCCUCCUCGGUGCCUUCUGCGUUCCCCUGGGGCUCUCCCCCCUGUUUGUUCUUCCAUCUCUUGCUUCCUCUGUCCGGCCUUCUCUCUCCUCUUCUCUUAUGGGCUCUUCCUCUUCUCUUUAGGACCAAGAGCUGCCCCAUCCAGCUUACCCCUCCUUGGAACUUUCCCUAGGAUUUACCCCCCAUGUAGUAAGGCUUCACAGGGUUCACACUUCCCAUCACUGUUUUGGGGCCUAUUGUCUUUCCCAUCUGUCUGUUGAGGUGUCUCACUACCGUGCUUAUCUCUCCUGCCCUGCAUUCCUCUCACCUUUCCACUCUUCCAUCCUUUCCCCUUCUGCUCCCCCCAUCCUCCCUCCCUCCCCCCCCUCCUGCUCCUCUUCUGCCACCUGUUGGGGGCUCGGUCUCCCCUCCCCUGCCUUCCGACUCUCCUCUCCCAUCUCCGCCGUCUCUUUCCCUCUCGUCUCCCUCUCUUCCAUCUGAUCUCUACCUCUCCUCCAUCUACUCAGCAGCAAGGGACUGACCAGUUCGAUGCUCCAGUGGAGCUCAUCCCUCCCUCCUCGUCAUUAGAGUUAGACAGGGGGCUCGAUGGGGAUGGGCAUAACCUACCAACAGUGGAUCCCUCACCGCCCUUCUCUCCCCCCUCGGUUGACUUUGGCGACAAGGGGGUCGAUGGGGAAGGGCCUGACCGUGACUUGGAAAGGAUGAAGGACAUGUACCGAUUAAUGGGGUUCCAGUAUGAUGGCCUUGAAGGACCGGGUCAUCGCGUCAUGCUCGCUGAUCCCCAGAGCCACAUGAAGGUGGGAUUCAAAGGAAAGAGGGAGCUUCUAAACCUCUUUUCUUCUUUAUUUGUUCAGGGCCCCUCCACUCCAAAAGGAUUCUAUCCCUCCCCCCAAGGUGGUUCUUUGAGGCGUUCACCUAGAAUAGCCUCCGUUCCCUUCUCUUCAUCUUGAUCAUGAAGAUAGUCAGCUGGAAUAUCAGAGGUUUGGGUCAUCCUUCGAAAAAGAAGGCUAUGAAGGACCUCACUUCCAAACACUGUCCCUCUAUUCUUUCUAUUACUGAAACUAAGAGCCCUGAGCCCUCCCUACUCCAAGUUCGUCAGGUUUGAGGUAGGAGGCCCUGCCAGUGGGUAGCUUUACCUGCGGAAGGUGCCUCAGGGGGAAUCUGGGUUAUUUGGGAACCCACUGACUAUCUUUUAAAAUCUUUGCAUAUAGGGGAUUUCUCAGUCACCAUUCUGCUGUCCAGAGUUUCUGACGGCCUUGAAUGGAAGUUUUCGGGCAUUUAUGGCCCCUGCUCUUCAGCCUGUAGACCACGGUUUUGGUCCGAAUUGGACUAUGUUGCAUCCCUCCCUCACCCUAUCCGGGGCUUGGGUGGGGACUUUAACAUAACACGGUGGUCACAUGAACAGAACUCUAGCUCCCUGAUCUCUCAGGGCAUGUUGGACUUCUCUGAUUUCAUAUCUAGGAAUGACCUUCUUGACAUUCCUCUCCAAGGCAACAGAUUCACCUGGUCCAGUCACUCAUCCCAACCUUCUCUUUCCAAAUUGGAUAGGUUUCUAUUUACCCUAGAUUGGGAGGAAAAGUUCCCAGGUUCUCUUGUGAUGGCUUUGCAUAAGCCUGUCUCUGACCAUUACCCCUUGCUCCUGUUUGCUUUAGCUGUAAAUAGGGGCCCCAAACCCUUCAGAUUCGAGUUAGCCUGGCUUGAGGAAAGGUCUUUCUCAACUCUGAUCCCCACUUGGUGGACCUCCUUCUCUGCCCAGGUCAAUGGUAGAGCAGGGUUCAGACUACGAUAAAAAAUUGAACUUCUCAAAGCCUCCCUUAAGUCCUAGAGUUCGUUUGUUUUGGGGAACUAUUCUCAAAUAAAGUCUGAUCUCCUUAAGACCCUGCAAGACCUGGAUAACAUUGAAGAAUCACGUCCCCUGUUCUCUGCUGAAGUUGACUGCCGAACCCAAACAAAAUUUGAUUACUUAUCCACCUUGAAAAAAGAAGAGAUGUACUAGUACCAAAGAUCAAGAGUGAACUGGCUCAAAAUAGGGGACGACAAUACCCGUUUCUUCCACAAGAUUGCUAAUUGUUGCAGGAGGGACAAUUCAAUCUCGACCAUCCAGGUUAACAACUGUUAUUUAGACCAGCUGGAAGAGAUUGAAUCAACAAUCUUAAACUAUUUCCAGAAUCUAUACUUAGCUCCUUUUGGUCCUAGACCAGCUAUGGCUGACCUAGACUUCUUGACCCUCUCGGAAGAACAUGCAACACGGUUAGAACGUCCAUUCCUUGAAGAUGAAAUUCUAAAAGCUUUGGGCGACCUAGCUAAAGACAAAGCCCCUAGGCCUGAUGGGUUUCCCGUGGCCCCUUUUAAGAUCUUCUGGGAAUUCUCAAUAAAUCCAUCAAUGCCACUUUCAUCACUCUGGUUCCUAAGGUUGAAAGGGCUUAGGAACUUAAGGACUUCCGUCUUAUAAGUUUGCUCAACUCCUCUUACAAAAUUUUAUCUAAGUUACUGGCCUCUAGACUUCAGGAGGUCCUUCCUUCGGUCAUUUCUCCCUGGCAGUCGGCCUUUAUUAAAAAUAGACAAAUUCUUGAUGGGAGCGUUGAUAGCCAACGAAUGCCUCCAUUCUAGGCACCGAGCCAAAAACCUGGUCUGAUUUUUAAAAUUGAUUGGGAAAAAGCUUACAACCAUGUUAACUGGUCGGUCCUGGAUGAGACUAUGACUUGGAUGGGUUUCCGAGAUAGGUGGCAGAAAUGGAUGAGAGGGUGCUAUUCCCACUCAAGUUUUUCGAUCCUCAUCAACAGAACUCCCAAAGGCUACUUUCCUUGCUCAAGAGGCCUUCGUCAAGGGGACCUUCUGUCCCCCUUCCUCUUUACUAUUUCGGCUGAGGUCUUUAGCCACUCUCUGGGUCACCUUUACCAAGCUGGCCUUCUUUCAGGCUUUAGGUCCUCACGUCGAGGGCCUACUGUGUCGCAUCUGCAAUACGCAGACGACACUUUGGUCUUCCUUAAUGCCUCCUCUCUUGAAGUGGAAAACCUCAGAAUCUAGCUCAAAUGUUUCUAAAUGGCCACUGGGUUCGAGGUAAAUAUGAAGAAAUGAAAAAUGACGGGUAUAGCUAUCACUACCAGCCAAAUCAGGGAGCUGAUACUAGACUGGGCAUGUAAAGUGGAAGACCUCAUGUAAAGUGGAAGACCUCCCUACUUCUUACUUGGGUCUUCCCCUAGGCCUUGGUAAACCCAAAAUGAGACACUGGUCCCAUAUAGAUAAGGUUGAUAGAAGGUUGGCUGGAUGGGAAGGGAGAUACUUGUCACUAGCAGGAAGAAUCACCCUUAUCAAAGCUACUCUAGCCAAUGCACCUGUGUACAUGAUGUCUCUCUUUCAAAUACCGGUCUCAAUGGUAAAUUGCCUUGACCAGCUCAUGAGGAACUUUCUCUGAUCAGGGCAGGCUGAAAGAACUAAGUUCCAUCUCAUUUCCUGGGACAAGGUACGUCUACCUAAAGACCAGGGUGGGCUAGGAAUUAGAAACUUAAGAAAACAAAACCUUGCCCUCUUAGGGAAAUGGUGGUGGCGCAUGGCCACCCAAACAGAACCACUUUGGGCCCAGGUAUUAUGGAAUAAGUAUAAUAUUCUAGAACAUACCUGGAUCCUAGAGACAAAACCUUGGUCUAAUGCUUCAAGUGUAUGGAGGUCCUUUACUGCCACCCUUGAUUUAUUCAGGCAGCUCAUCAGAUUCUACCCAAGAGAAGGCAGUAGGGUGCGGUUUUGGACUAACCUAUGGAUAGGUCAUGCCCCUUUGAGGAACUACUAUCCCUUCCUGUUCUCUAUCACGGUUAAUAGAGAGGCUACCGUAGAGGAGGAGUUUAGACUGGAAGGAGGAAGAAGAGGAUGGCAUCCAUCUUUCAGAAGGAACCUUUCAGAGGGGGAAUCUAAUCAAUUCCUCUUACUCUCCUCACUGCUCCACAAUACCUUUAUCCAUAUCCAAGGUAGAGAUAAGUUGGUAUGGCCCCUUGCUCCCUCAGGGUUUUUUACAGUGGCUUCUUUCUACAAAAUGCUCAUCCAACCUCCUACUUUCCCCCUCAACCCAACCUUGAUUCUAUCACAGGUAUGACACACUAUUGCACCUCCAAAGGUGCAAACCUUCAACUAGAUUGCAGGUUCUAACUAGGCCCUCACUAUGGAUUACCUACAAAAGAAAGGAAUUCCAAUUCCCAAUAGGUGCAUCAUGUGCUUGAGUCAAGAGGAAUCCAAUAACCACCUCUUUCUCCAUUGUAACGUGGCCCAAGAACUAUGGAGCCUACUGUGGCAAUUGUUUGGGGUUCUCUAGGUAAUACCUCCAACGGUCAAAGACCUUUUCGUUUUGAACUUAGCCUCGCACUGGCCGAAGGCGGCCAGAAUCCUAUGGAAAGCCAUAGUGGCAGCAACAAUUUGGACCAUUUGGCAAAGAAAGAAAUGGCAGAAUCUUUCGGGGGCAGGCCGGUCUAGCCCCUUUUCUCGUCCAUAAGGUUACAUUCUUAGUAACCUUUUGGGCGUCAAACCAUCAUUUUUCAACAGUAUCCCAACAGACUCCUGACCGCAGUGGGAGCAUAUUCUCCUCCACAAACCGAAGGAAAAGAAAGUCAUAAGGGCCUGGGAACCUCCCCCCCAAGGAGCAAUCAAAUUAAACUCUGAUGGUUGCUCUUUGGGAAACCCAGGCCAUGCAAGUGCGGGAGGGGUUUUCAGAGAUCACCAUCAGAACAUACUUUUUACAUACUUUGAAUAUCUCGGCUUCCAAGAUUCACAGUUCACUGAAUCAAUGGCCCUACUCAGAGGCAUACAGAAUUAUGAUUGCUCUUGGGGGCAGUUUCUAUUAGUGGAGGGCGACUCUAGAAACAUUAUUUCUUAGGCUUCCUGGACAGCUACUCCCCCCUGGUAUCUUGUGUCUAUUUAUGAUGAGAUUCAGCAUCUUUGCAAGGAUACACCCGUCUUAUGGAAGCAUAUCUCGCGGACGUCAAACGGGCUCGCGGACUUGCUCGCCAAGGAUGGAGCUAAGGUCCAUGUUGAAGAAUAGGCUCUACCACAGUUGGGUUUGGGUCGGUUACAGAGCACGCACACUACAAGAACCUCUCUCUUGGUCUGGGAUUUUUUUGUGAUCUACUCUCUUUACUUUCUUUGUACAUUUCCUGAAUACUGUGUAAGGGGAUAAUCUUAUAACCCCAUUUUGUAUAGGGUCAGUUGACCUAUUUUUUUUUCCCAGGAGUCCCGUGUAGUUAAGGUACUCUUGGAUUUACUUUUACCAUUUUGUAUCUAUCUUUUCGAUCAAUAAAAAAGUUAAUAGUUAUUAAAAAAAAAAACUUACAUGCCCUUGGCGACUUUGAUAAUCUCAAAAUCGUGCCACCCCGCUCCUCUAUAGUGGGGUAGGAGCAAUGCACAACUUUUGGGUAGCCUAGCACUUGCCUGGAGCAUUAUGCACAUAUCACAUACACCCCAAGGUUGUGGCCAACAUACACAACAUAUACUCUUGGCAUUUUCUGCAAUAUUGAGCAAUGUAUACACAUGGGGAACAUUAAAGCCAUCAAAAACAUAUAUACACUGAUGAUCACUCCAUAAGUAAACUAAUUAGUUCCCAAAACUAAUUGUAGGAUCAUUAUUGUAAUAAAGUUUCAUACCCAUACAUAAUGCACUUUUCAAUAGUAAACCACUUAGUUCUAUACCAUCAAACUGUCCAAGAAAAGCCAUCAUGGUUAUAUCCAAUCAAAAACAAAAGAGCAUUCCUCAUUAAUAACACUCAUAGUGAUAUCGAACAAAAAAGAUUAACCGUAAAAAACUGCAAUGAUCAACCAAAACUGCAAGUUAAUAACCCAUGAACAAAAACAUAUGUAAUUCCCCAUCACCAAAUGCAACUUAAAAAUAGUUACACUAUACCCAUCCAACAUUGGGCAUUUCAACCAAAAGUAGAAGUUAUUAACCCAUCAUUAGAGAGGUAUUGAGGACACAAUAAUGGAGGAAUUAAAGAGCAUUAGUCUAUCUAUGGAGAUGGUGAUCAACCAUGCACACCAUACACAUCAAGAACAUAUUAUGCUCCUCUUCACUUAUAUUCUAGAAUAACAUCGUCACAUCCACAUUUGUGACAAUUUCCUUAGUUGCAGUCAUUCUAGUUGUGGGUGUGAGCCCCCGGAUCUUGUCUAUGGCCUUGCCGACCUGAGCUGUGAGUGGAUUGCGUGGUCGUUUAUUCAUCAUCCACCCCUUAUCGUCUGGAUGAUUAUGUAUUGAUAAGGUGUGAGAUAUUAGUACAUGUUUUUUGGGCAAGAUAAAAAACAACAAAAAUGUUAAUACAAUAUUACUGACCUCAACAUAGGUAUCCCAUACGUCAUCAUCAACAAGCACAUGGUGCCUAAUACUGUCCCACCCAAAACCGCUUUGAUUUCCCUAACUAUCAAGUAAUGAGCCUUCCAGGUCUUCAAUUUAUUAUUGAAUUGGUCCUUUUUAAUGUCCAUACCAGUUGUCUUUAAGAACUCCUGCUCGACAGUGGCCCAGUGUACGGGUUUAAAAUCUUUGCUAGUUUUAUUGGUCUCCAAAAUCUUUUCGGAUAGGAUAUCCAAUAAUGCUCUCUCGAUUUUCUUCAACCAUAUCAAUCUUUUGGCCUUCGAAGAUGCCGAUUGUGUCUCCACCACAUCAUUAUCCAUACCUAGUACAAUAAGAGCUAGCAUCAAAAUAUAUACAUACUACCAAAACGAGCAGUCACAACCUUCAUACACAGUCCCAUAUAUAUUAAAACCCAUUUCAAUACACAAUCUUCAACUUACACUUCACCAGUAUCCAUGACAUAAUAAAACAAAUAAAGAUGCAUACACAAACCAAGUAUGUGCCUUCAGGCAUAGUUCAGCAUAACAUUUCAUACAAUCAAGGGAAAAGUACAUAAUCUAGGCACCAUGGUGCCUAUAUUUUUCUCACAUGCUCUUCGCAAUUUCUUCUCGGAAUUCAAAACAUUCAUCCCUAUCGCUUUGACUCCUCCCAAAUCCUUCGAAUGUCAGUACAUUAACAUCCUCAUCACUGUCUCGGGGGGCUUCCAUCUCAUGGUCUGGAGUUUAUGCCCUUUGUGAGUAGUGACUUUUUUUUGUUAGUUGUCUGUUGUGACAUGUAAUGGAUAUCACAAGUUUUGGGAUAAGCAUAAUGGAAAAUUAACAUUUGCUAGUAGAGGUCAGUGAUUUUCAUUCUUUUAAUGUUACUUUUAGCUAUUUUGUUCACAGUUCAAAGUCAUGUAUCUUAAGUUUGAUACGUAGUUUAGUACAAUAAAAUUAUAUUAAAAAAAACUAUAGAAUUAAUCAUGUUUAUUAAACCAAAAAAAAAAUGAUAAUCUAUACACAAAAGCAGGGGGUCCAACAGUCCGUAAGGGUUUGGAGCCCCAACAUUAUGCAUGCCGCCCCAGAAUUUGGGCCCCCACCUAGGCGACCGCAUUUGCUUUUUGAACAUUGAGUACGAGUACUUUUGUCUAUUGCAGCUAACAAAAAAUGUGGCCUUUGCUUUUUGAACAUUGAGUACGAGUACUUUUGUCUAUUGCAGCUAACAAAAAAUGAGCACUCUAUUGCAUGAAGAAUGCCUUUCUCCAUGGAGAUCUGCAAGACUUGUAUAUAGUAUUACCACCUAGGUUUAUACUUGGGUGGAGAAAAGGAAGGUCUGCAAGUUGAGAAACACUAUUGCUGGACUGAAAUAGUUACCUCAGGCUUGGUUUGAAAAUUCAGUAUGGCAAUAUGCCAGAAGCAUUUUUGAUCACUUGGUAUUUGUUAAAUGAAAUUCUUGGUCUAUGACAAUACUAACAAUGUACAUGGAUGAUAUUGUGCUCACAGGAAAUAAUAAUCACAAAUUCUAUAAGUUAGAUAUUUGUUGAGGAGUGUUUUUGACAUCAAGGAUCUUGGUCCAUUGAAAUACUUCUUUGGAAUAGAGGUGGCAAUGUCUAAAUAGGGAAUCUUUGUAUCAAUGGAAGUAUAGUCGUCAUCUCCUCAAUGACACAGGAAUGCUCAGAGCCAACCAGCAAAUCUCCCAUAGAGAUUAUGUUGGCCCUGGUGUUCUCUUCAUUGAUGAUCUACAUUGGCUACCUUAUGACAGUGGGUGGUUAUUUAGUUUCAUGGAAGAGUAAGCAACAAAAUCUUGUAGUCUGAUCGUCAGUGGAAGUCGAGUAUUGAGCAAUGGCUAGUGCUACAUAUAAUUUAUUUUGGUUUCAUUCUCUUCUUCAAAAGAUGGGUGUUUAUGUGUCAACUCCUAUUCCUUUAGAUUGUGAUAAUCAAAUGGUAAUUAUACUGCUUUAAACCCUGUAUACCAUAAAAGAACCAAGAUGUUGAGGUCGUUGACACUUAGUAAGAGAAAAAAGUCACUCCAAAAGUAGAAUGCACUUCAUCUUUGCGCUCUGAUAAUCAAUUGGUAGAUAUACUUACCAAGGCUUCUAAUCGAGUUCGAUUAAAAGACAAUUUGGCAAGCUGGGCAUCUAUGAUAUUUAUGCUUCAGCUUGAGGGGGAGUGUAGUGAAUAUCAUGACUCCACAUUGGCAUUAGGGAAGCCUCUCGUGAUGGAGAAUGUGAUGAGAAGGCCCAUGGACAAAGAAGGCUCAGAUACUUAGAAACUCAAUCUGUAUGUACCAAGUUGACUAAGGAGAACCUCACAUUCUUGAUACUUGGAAACUCAAUCUGUACGAAAGUUGACAAGGGUUCUUUGUAUAGUAUCCAAAAAAAUAUUAAUUUGCCGUGGCUCUCUUCAAGGCAUUUUGGACUCUCAAAUAUUUUAACCAUGUACUCCCAUAAUAGAUUAGUAGAUGUUGUUGAUAUCA